rnacentral:rRNA from 1 species
AGUGAACGCUGGCGGUAGGCCUAACACAUGCAAGUCGAACGGCAGCACAGUAAGAGCUUGCUCUUACGGGUGGCGAGUGGCGGACGGGUGAGGAAUACAUCGUAAUCUACUUUUUCGUGGGGGAUAACGUAGGGAAACUUACUCUAAUACCGCAUACGACCUACGGUUGAAAGCAGUGGAUCUUCGGACCUUGCGCGAUUGAAUGAGCCGAUGUCGGAUUAGCUAGUUGGCGGGGUAAAGGCCCACCAAGUCGACGAUACGUGGCUGGUCUGAGAGGAUGGUAGGCCACCUGGGAACUUAGACACGGCCCAGGCUCCUAAGGGAGGCAGCAGUGGCGUAUGUUGGACAAUAGGGGGAAGCAUUGUACAACCAUCCCGAGUGGGAGGAAGAGGCCUUCCGGUUGGAAAGACCUUUUGUUGGGAAAAAAAAGCUGUCGGUUAAUACCCAGCUGUUGUGACGGUAACCAAAAAAUAAGCACCGGCUAACUUCGUG